UUGGAGGGCAAGUCUGGUGCCAGCAGCCGCGGUAAUUCAGCUCCAAUAGCGUAUAUUAAAGUUGUUGCAGUUAAAAAGCUCGUAGUUGAAUUUCGGGAUCAAAUUGUCGGUCGUGCCUCGGUACGCACUGGUAUUAUUGGUUCCUACCUUCUGAAGAACCGCGAUGUCAUUAAUUUGGUGUCGUGGGGAAUCAGGACUGUUACUUUGAAAAAAUUAGAGUGUUUAAAGCAGGCUUACGCUUGAAUACAUUAGCAUGGAAUAAUGAAAUAGGACGUUUGAUUCUAUUUUGUUGGUUUCUAGGAUUGACGUAAUGAUUAAUAGGGAUAGUUGGGGGCAUUAGUAUUCAAUUGUCAGAGGUGAAAUUCUUGGAUUUAUUGAAGACUAACUACUGCGAAAGCAUUUGCCAAGGAUGUUUUCAUUAAUCAAGAACGAAAGUUAGGGGAUCGAAGACGAUCAGAUACCGUCGUAGUCUUAACCAUAAACUAUGCCGACUAGGGAUCGGAUGAUGUUAAUUUUUUAAUGACUCAUUCGGCGCCUUACGGGAAAC
rnacentral:rRNA from 1 species